CUUCCCAUCACCUCCUGUCAACCAUAAGGGUAGAAGGAACGGAAAGAAGGAAGGGUAGCGUUCAUUUUUGGAAACGCUAAAGGUUAUAUGUAAAGAAGACCUGUUGCCAUGAUCACCCUUCAGAAGAAGGAAGUGGUUAGCGCGCGCUAAAGAUUUAUAAGCACUGUUCACCUUCCUGAAGAAAGGUACCGUACGCUCAAGGUUAAAAGCACCUCCCUGAAGAGAGGACUUUUCUGUUAAAACAGGCCUGUUGUCGUGGUGGAACGCAAAAGGCUAUAUGCAAAAGCGCUGUGAUCUGAACUUGAAAACUCUCUAGGCCUAUUUUCUCCGGAUAUUUCUGUAUAUUUUCCUGUUCGCCUUGUUUGAAGGGAACAAACUUCUCAAUUUCUGUUUUCCUGUGGGAUCUCCUGAUAAGCCUCUGGGUGCCUUAGCAAAUAGGCUGUACGAAAGGGGUAUAAUCCUGAGUGAGAAUAAUACUACAAAAUGGGAAACAAGCAAUCUAAAAAAGAAAAAGACAUAUCCCAGUUAGAAGGGGAUAUGAAACAUAUGGAAAUACAAGCAAAUGUUGACUGUGCAAACAUACUGACAAACUUUUUACCAUGGGUAAAACACAGAUAAUUGUAGUCAUAAUUUAUGUAAUUAAAGGACUGAUUUCGCAUUACUGAGAUGGCUUGACCCGGAACCAGUAGGGGACUGAUCACCCCAGGGAAAUCCCCUGGCCUCAACCUCCUCACAAAACGAGAGAGAUGGAGGUCCUCUGGUCGGGCUUGGUUGACUCAGCAUUACGAUUUCAAAAACAAACUAUGAGAGUCUGAAAAUAGAAACAUAACUAAAAAGGUAAUUUAAAAGAUCAGUUAUUAUUAGAGGUAUUAAGAGAAAUACAUAAAAUAACUUACAAAUGGGAAAAAGUGCGUCAAAAUCAGAAGACGCACAUGAUAAUGGCAAUAAGAGGUGGUUUAAAAUGUCUACAACAAAAAGAAAAUUGUAAACACAGAUUUUAAAAUGUUUUUGCAUUAUUGGUUGCGCCAAACAGAGCAAAGCUUACGUUAAUGGUGGCAAGAAAGCCAAUGAUUUUUUGUUUUGUUUUGUUUUAUGUGACUUUGGUGCCUGCUGAGCAGUAAUCAGAGAAUUAGAUGCCCAGAACAGUAAGGUUGUAAGAAGAAAGAGAAAUCUAAAAGCAGAGAUAUUUAAAAAUACAGAUUAUGUUUCAAAAACAUGCCCUACAAACUUAUUAGGAAGAGAUGUGAUAUGGGUUGGGCAUUAGAAUUGUUCCAACAAUACAUGGGUUUUAGAAUAAAUUAAACAAUGGUGUGUCAAAGAAAUGGUGUCCCAAAAUAUUACUAUGUAUAGAAUAUACACUGUUCAGCCCCAAAAAGAUUUAAAGAGAAAUUGAAGCCUGUCACACUAACUACAUUAACCUAGACUGAUGCAUUGGACCAACACAGGCUGGGUGGGGGUUGAGUGCUGGCUCAAAAGAAUAUGCUGUUCCUCCAGAUAAGAAGACCUGUAAACAACAUACCCUGGUGUUGUUACGAUUUUUAGCAGAAACAAGGCCACAAAAUUAGCAGUUGUGGUCCACUAAAAUGAAGCUAUCUUUAAAAAGCACCACAGCCACAGACAAAGAAAUACAUUAUGUCUUAGCACAUCCAUAACACGACAAGCCAUUCGUACAAACUGUAGAUAAAAAAAAAAUAAAAAAAUAUCUGUGUUAAUGCAUAAGUGGGGACUUAAAGUUUAUACCAGUGGCACACUAGUCAACACGGCUAGAUCCAGUAGCCCAAGCAAUGUGCUAUUGUUUGUUGAUGGUUCAAGCAAAUAAACCUUGAACGCAUAGCCACUACUUCCAAACUAUUCUGCACAAGCAGCGGAACUGAUUUCCCUGAUUGCGCACACACACAUGCAAAAGACCCGGUUUCAUUGGGAAACCAAAAAGCAGACAAGGCCACAAACCAGGUUGCACUACAACCAUCUGACACCUACACAAUUGAAGAAUUAGAUCUCACAAUACUAAAAGAUAUGCUGCAAUAUUGAGCCAUGAUGAAAACAUGCCUCAAUAAGUGGGGAUAGUAAGCAUAUAUUUGUAGUUCUUAUUUAUAUUUUAUAAGAAAGAUGUUUAAUCAUUCAUUAUUGAUUUUAUUGAGUUAAAUCCCAACGAAAGAAAGAAAUAUUGUCUAGCCAUAGACAAUCACUGUUCAUACAACCCCCAGUCAGUCGGACUGGUAGAAAAGAAUGAACCAAACUAUUAAAAGCUAAUUGAGAACCUAAGAGUGAAAUUAGUGAAAUUAAGCAUGCAUGUUAUUAUCACUGUUUGAAAUGAUGUAUGGAAGAAUCUACACUGCCUCAACUCUUAAACCAUUUGCUAAAACAGACAAAGAGAUUGAAUACACACUUUCAGAGUACAUGGCAAAGAUGAUGUCGAAACUAAAUGCUCUCAGACUUCUUUCCCCUACACAGGAACACUGUGAGGCUGAAACCAAGGUUGGGCCAGGAGAUUGGGUCCUAAUCAACAGCCUCAAAAGAAAACACUGCCACUUGCCCAAGUGGGACAGACCAUACCAAGUGCUACUGUCAACACCUACCGCAGUCAAAAUAGCUGAGAGAGCCACGUGGAUACUUCUGGCUCAAUGCAAACGGGUAAGCCUGCACACGGCUGAGGCAGAGGAAUAAAGAUCUUCUUUCUUUGCUGUUUCCAGGGUGUGCCCACUGUGACAGAAGACCAGCCUACAAAGGGGUUUAGAUGUUUAGAUUAUUUUUGUCUCAACCGCUGGCAGAAGAUACAGUACUGUCCUGGGGGAUUAGAACCUAGUGGAAAUUGUGGAGUAAGAGGUCUCUUCCUCUGCAAGGUCAUGGGAGGUUACGGAAAGUGGCCCAAAGGAUGUGGGGGACUCUUAGCAACGACUGUAGGAUUUUACAUUGUUGUUCUAGUAACAUACUUAUGAAUGAUACAGCAAACACAGGCCCUGGACGAAUAUCCACGAUGGGACCUGGCUAAAGAUCAUCCGUGGUGGAAAUGGGUAAAUCAGACUGUCAGAACGCACUACCACAAGGUCCAAGACUCACCAGUACCUGAGGAACGUUCCAAUGCAUUCCGUACGAGGGAGGAGAGAAGCAGGGGAUGACAGCGGGAUCUGGUUCGAUGGCCUGGGCAUUCCCUGAGGCAUUCCAGACCACUACAACCCAGCAGCCAAUGGCCUGGCAUCUACCCUCUGCACCUGGUGCGUCAUUUGAGCACACACAGAUUGGAUUAACUUCCUUUACUAUGCUGAGAUGAAGUUCCAAAACCUGACCAGAGACAGACUACAAAAGAUCAGAGAAGAACUACACGCCAACUCCAGGUUAACGCGGCAAAACACAGCUGUGCUUGAAAUUCUCACUGCCAUGAAUGGAGGCAUUUGUGUCAUGCUUGGUACUGACCAAUGUUGCACAUAUGUCCCUGAUAACACCCGAGAUGGGAAAGACUUGUCAGUUGUCAAACAAAAUGCCUGAUGGGGAACAGGGCCUUCAAGGACACAGCAAAGAAACCUUGUUUGAAUGUUAUCUGAAGCCUAGGCGAGCUAAUGACACACACACAGUCGACACCCACUAUGUUGGCCUACAAAUGCAAAGUAUACAAAUGUAUGAUGAGAAAUACGAUGAUUGACUUAUAAUGAUAUGGAGUGAUGCUCAGUAAUGAUCUCUGUUCCGAAAAUCCAUGUGAUAAAGCUCAGAGUGAUGAUUUUGAGGUUAUCCAUUGAAAUUGAUAAUUGACAAAUUAAGAAAGAUGAUUUGUGAUUUUAAUUUUGAUUUUGAUUGUGAUUUUUAAUUAUCCAUUGAAACGGAUAAAAGGAGGGAUAGAUGGAGAUAAUUUGCAAACACUGUUAAUUACUUAAGAAUGUAUGAAUCAUGUGCUUAUGAAAUGGCUUUUCUGUGUGUGUGUGUAACUUAGAAUAUUAGGUGCCACUUAGUCUGCAUAUGUACAAGAGCAUGUUUAGACCAGAGGUGAUAAGAAGGUUCGAACUGUGCUUCUUCCAACCUUGCAAAACUUCCAUCCUUGCCUCAGGCGUCAGAAAUCCACCACGUGGUUAUCUCUGCUGAACGCUCAACUUCGGUCUAUAUAAACCUUGUGCGAUGUGUUUAUCAUUGCUUCACUUUCAGCCUUGUGCUGGGAGUGAGCCCGAUUGCAAUUGUUGUUUGUCUAAUAAAUAUACUUAUAUGCAGCUCCGGAGUCCUGAGGUAACUAGGGUGAAUUUUCACCUAUCAAAGACACUUAAGAAAAUGUUCAAGAAUGAGGUCCAAAGUUAUGACUAUGCUAAUAGUUGUUGUGACUAGGCUGAAGUGAGG
ensembl:lncRNA